CACUCCUACGGGAGGCAGCAGUGGGGAAUUUUGGACAAUGGGCGAAAGCCUGAUCCAGCAAUGCCGCGUGUGUGAAGAAGGCCUUCGGGUUGUAAAGCACUUUUGUCCGGAAAGAAAUCCUUGGCUCUAAUACAGUCGGGGGAUGACGGUACCGGAAGAAUAAGCACCGGCUAACUACGUGCCAGCAGCCGCGGUAAUACGUAGGGUGCGAGCGUUAAUCGGAAUUACUGGGCGUAAAGCGUGCGCAGGCGGUUUACUAAGACCGAUGUGAAAUCCCCGGGCUCAACCUGGGAACUGCAUUGGUGACUGGCAGGCUAGAGUAUGGCAGAGGGGGGUAGAAUUCCACGUGUAGCAGUGAAAUGCGUAGAGAUGUGGAGGAAUACCGAUGGCGAAGGCAGCCCCCUGGGCCAAUACUGACGCUCAUGCACGAAAGCGUGGGGAGCAAACAGGAUUAGAUACCCUGGUAGUCCCAUGA
rnacentral:rRNA from 1 species